ensembl:snRNA U6 U6 spliceosomal RNA
GUGCUCGCUUCGGCAGCACAUAUACUAAAUUGGAACGAUACAGGGGAGAACGAUUUGCAUGGGCCCUGCGUAAGGAUGUCACGCAAAUUCAUGACGCGUUCCACAUUAAA